UGGGGAAUUUUGGACAAUGGGCGAAAGCCUGAUCCAGCAAUGCCGCGUGUGUGAAGAAGGCCUUCGGGUUGUAAAGCACUUUUGUCCGGAAAGAAAUCCUUGGCUCUAAUACAGUCGGGGGAUGACGGUACCGGAAGAAUAAGCACCGGCUAACUACGUGCCAGCAGCCGCGGUAAUACGUAGGGUGCAAGCGUUAAUCGGAAUUACUGGGCGUAAAGCGUGCGCAGGCGGUUUGCUAAGACCGAUGUGAAAUCCCCGGGCUCAACCUGGGAACUGCAUUGGUGACUGGCAGGCUAGAGUAUGGCAGAGGGGGGUAGAAUUCCACGUGUAGCAGUGAAAUGCGUAGAGAUGUGGAGGAAUACCGAUGGCGAAGGCAGCCCCCUGGGCCAAUACUGACGCUCAUGCACGAAAGCGUGGGGAGCAAACAGGAUUAGAUACCCUGGUAGUCCAGCGCCCUAAACGAUGUCCAACUAGUUGUUGGGGAUUCAUUUCCUUAGUAACGUAGCUAACGCGUGAAGUUGA
rnacentral:rRNA from 1 species